UACGGAGGAUGCAAGCGUUAUCCGGAAUCAUUGGGCGUAAAGAGUCCGUAGGUGGUGAAUCAAGUCUGCUGUCAAAGACGGAAGCUUAACUUCUGGUAGGCGGUGGAAACUGAAGCACUAGAGUACGGUAGGGGUAGAGGGAAUUCCCAGUGUAGCGGUGAAAUGCGUAGAGAUUGGGAAGAACACCAGUGGCGAAAGCGCUCUGCUGGGCCGAAACUGACACUGAGGGACGAAAGCUAGGGGAGCGAAAGGG
rnacentral:rRNA from 1 species